AAGAAAGUGGCAGAAGCGGUAGUGCGGCUAUCUUGAAAUUAGUUUAUGGGGGUUCAACUCCUCCCUUUCUCG
rnacentral:tRNA from 1 species